rnacentral:rRNA from 1 species
GACGAACCGUGCGAACGUUGUUCGGAAUUACUGGGCGUAAAGGGCGCGUAGGCGGCCCGCUAAGUCGAACGUGAAAUCCCCGAGCUCAACUCGGGAACUGCGUCCGAUACUGGUGGGCUUGAAUCCGGGAGAGGGAUGCGGAAUUCCAGGUGUAGCGGUGAAAUGCGUAGAUAUCUGGAGGAACACCGGUGGCGAAGGCGGCAUCCUGGACCGGCAUUGACGCUGAGGCGCGAAAGCUAGGGGAGCAAACGGG